rnacentral:rRNA from 1 species
GAAAGGAGAGAGUGCCUCGCAAGAGGGAGCCUGGAGACAGGUGCUGCAUGGCUGUCGUCAGCUCGUGUCGUGAGAUGUUGGGUUAAGUCCGCUAACGAGCGCAACCCUCGCUGUGUGUUAUAUGUGUCACACGGGACUGCCGGUCUUAAGCCGGAGGAAGGUGGGGAUGAUGUCAAGUCAGCAUGGCCUUUAUAUCCUGGGCUACACACACGCUACAAUGGCCAACACAAUAGGUUGCUAAGCCGCGAGGUGGCGCCAAUCCAUAAAGUUGGUCUCAGUUCAGAUUGUAGGCUGCAACCCGCCUGCAUGAAGAUGGAGUUGCUAGUAACCGCAGGUCAGCUAUACUGCGGUGAAUACGUUCCCGGGGCUU